GGAUAACACUUAGAAAUAGGUGCUAAUACCGCAUAAGCGCACAGCUUCGCAUGAAGGAGUGUGAAAAACUGAGGUGGUAUAUGAUGGAUCCGCGUCUGAUUAGCCAGUUGGUGAGGUAACGGCUCACCAAAGCGACGAUCAGUAGCCGGCCUGAGAGGGCGGACGGCCACAUUGGGACUGAGACACGGCCCAGACUCCUGCGGGAGGCAGCAGUGGGGGAUAUUGCACAAUGGGGGAAACCCUGAUGCAGCGACGCCGCGUGAGUGAAGAAGUAAUUCGUUACGUAAAGCUCUAUCAGCAGGGAAGAAAAUGACGGUACCUGACUAAGAAGCCCCGGCUAACUACGUGCCAGCAGCCGCGGUAAUACGUAGGGGGCAAGCGUUAUCCGGAAUUACUGGGUGUAAAGGGAGCGCAGACGGCAGUGCAAGUCUGGAGUGAAAGCCCGUGGCUUAACCACGGGACUGCUCUGGAAACUGUGCAGCUAGAGUGCAGGAGAGGCAGGCGGAAUUCCUAGUGUAGCGGUGAAAUGCGUAGAUAUUAGGAGGAACACCGGUGGCGAAGGCGGCCUGCUGGACUGUAACUGACGUUGAGGCUCGAAAGCGUGGGGAGCAAACAGGAUUAGAUACCCUGGUAGUCCACGCCGUAAACGAUGAUUACUAGGUGUCGGGGGACGAUAGUGCUCCGGUGCCGGCG
rnacentral:rRNA from 1 species